UACGAUUCUUGUUUCUUCUCCACCUUCAGUAAGUUUCCCAAGAAAGACCAAGGAUAAUUUUACAGGAAGAUUAGCCUUGAGAAUUAGAGCUUAUAAUUCUUCCAAGGAUGACUCAGCAAGCAACUCUGGUGAUUCCAAGCCCCCCAACGGCUCUCUGGUACUUGCCUCAUUAUUUGUAUGCAUAUAUGUGAUUUAAUUGAUGAUUUGUUUCUCAAGGACUUUUAUGAUUUUUAGUUUAUGUAAAUGUGGUAACAGAUAUGGUGUGUGCAAUGCUGGAAACUGCGAUAGUCACUAGUCUAUGUAAUCUAUGAAAAGGGUUUGCUUUGAAAGUGGAAUCGAACUUGAUGUAAUCUAGACAUCCCAUUUCAGUUUAUUUAUUUAAUUAAUUUAUUUUUUAGAUAAUUAAACAUAAUUUAAUAAUAAUUAUGUUUUCAAAAACUAGUUUUUGUUUUCGACCUAAAUUCAAGUGAAUCAAAUAUAAAACUGUAGUAAAAAGUUUGGAUUUUUUAAUGCUAAACAAGAUGGAAUACUCAAGAACUUACAUUUAUUUCUAAAGUGAACUCAGCAGGCCCUAAGGUUAAGUAGAGAGUAAUUUUAAAGAAAUUGGGGAAUAUUUAUACUUAUUUUUAAUGUAAUUGAACAGGAUAAGGAUUCUAGGUAUUGAGAAUUACUAUAUUCAACUACAGUUUUAUGCAUACUUUGCCAUGGGUAUGUUUGAAUUUGGAUUUUCAAUCUCUUCUUUGAAAGAUGCAGUCAAAGACGAGGAGAGAAAUUCUAUUGGAGUAUGUUAAAAAUGUGCAGCCAGAAUUUAUGGAGCUAUUCGUGAAAAGGGCACCGCAGCAGGUAGUUGAUGCAAUGCGACAAACAGUGACGAAUAUGAUUGGCACACUACCUCCACAAUUUUUUGCUGUAACUGUUACCACUGUAGCUGAAAAUCUUGCACAGCUCAUGUACAGUGUUAUGAUGACUGGUUAUAUGUUUAAGAAUGCACAAUAUCGCUUGGAAUUGCAGCAGAGUUUGGAGCAAGUCGCUCUUCCUGAUAUGCAAGAUAAAAAGGUAUUUUCUUUUUCGCCAUAUACAAAUUGUUAAAUUCUUCAAAGGCCAAAUAACUUGACAAAUACAAACCUUUGUGCCGUUUCAGUUUCAUAUAAUUUGGCGUUCUUCAGAUUUCAUUGCCGAGGUGAUUAGUGUAUAUAUUACUUACUCAAUUGGUGUUGAUGGGCAGAUUGUUUGCUUUAUUCAUUUACUUGUCUAUUUUUAAUUUGCUUUUAGCUAAAGUGCUUCCGUGUGAUAUAAAAUUGUUGCAGGAGGUUAUAGGGGGUCCUUUUUUAAUUUUACCCUUUGCAGCAUAUGAUUAGAUGUUGUUACUAUUACAGGAUUUGCCAGAUUAUGCACCAGGUACACAGAAGAAUGUGUCUGGUGAGGUUAUCAGAUGGAAUAAUGUUUCUGGUCCUCAGAAAAUGGAUGCUAAAAAGUACAUUGAGUUGCUUGAGGCAGAGAUUGAGGAACUCAAUCGUCAAGUUGGUAGAAAAACUGCAAAUGGACAGAAUGAGUUGUUGGAAUAUCUCAAAUCUCUUGAGCCACAAAAUCUGAAGGUAACUAUUGAUUGCCUUUGUUGCUAAAUGCUAUUAACAGACACGUCAAUAUGCGGUUAAGACGGUUCUUAAGACCACCUUUUAUCAUUUUAAAAAGCAUCGAACUUCAAUUGUUUGAAAUAGAAUUUUCUUGACAAGUCAAAAUUUGUUGAGGGGUUAGCUUACCUCCUUGCUUCCUGCUUUGUUUUUGCCAGGUUGAAUGGAGUAACACUUAGCUUUAUUUUCUGCUUCUUACUUCAGAUUACAUGUUUAUGGAUCUGUAGGAGUUGACAAGUAGUGCUGGAGAGGAUGUUGUACUUGCAAUGAACACCUUCAUAAAGCGACUUUUAGCUGUUGCAGAUCCAGAACAAAUGAAGGUUUGCCUUUGCACUGAACUCAAUUGGCUAUUUUCCCGCUUUAAUGGAUUGUGACCAUAAGAAUUGUAUUCGCUCCAAUGUAAUUGAUAAAAUAUCUAAAUUGAUUGUACAUGUUUAAUUCAGCCAGAGUAUUCAGUAUUGGAAUUUUCAAAGUGCUUUCCCUUAAUAUUUUCCUGAUUUAAAUUGUAAUAAACUUCUUAGCAUUUUGCUGACCAUUGCAAAAAUCUUGUUUAAGAACUUAGCUCCAUUAAACUCUUUUUUUGCCCUUUUCACCCUUCCUUUUUUGUCCUCAUUUGAAAAUUCUGCUAUGCCUGGAUGUGUCAUGGGGAGGUUUUAUGCAUUGGAUCUUUCAAUAAAAGGCUAGUGAAAAGUACUUGCUUCUCUGGUGUGGGUCUCAGGAAAUAUUAUAAUUUUUUUUUCCUGGAUCUUCUUCAUACUGAGAGUUCUUUUAACAUACAAUUUUUGUUAGAAACAAAUUUGUGUUCCGGAUUUCUCAAACUUUGGUUUCUUCUCACAGACAAGUGUAACUGAGACUAGUGCGCUCGAACUUGCCAAACUGCUUUAUUGGCUGAUGGUGGUUGGAUACAGUAUCCGCAACAUUGAAGUCCGUUUUGAUAUGGAACGAGUACUUGGGACACCUCAGAAGCCUGCAGAAUUACCUCCGGGAGAAGAAAACAUUUGAUGUCUUGCAUUGAAGUACCAACAAUUGAUGUCAUGACAAGGGUGGAGUGCAAUAAUUUAGUGCUGGGUUUACCAUGUGACUAAGCUGGUGGAGUUUUGUGUUCUCGUGGAUGGAAGCAGCAAUUAGCAAAUGGCUUAUUGCAGGGAUGAACACCUGGAAGAGUACAUAUUUUUGGUUGCUGCUCUUUCUUAUGUAUUGCAAAACCUAUCAAAAAAUAGUUAGUGGAAAAGUUGAUUGUGAUCUCUGGAUAGGUCAAGAUUCUUGACAUGUUGUCUCAAAUUCGUCAGACAAUGAAAAGAUUUAACUUGAUGGAUAUGUUUCCUUUUGUUUUGAGAUGGAGGACAUAUUAGGUGAUUUGAUUUGAUUUGA
rnacentral:misc_RNA from 1 species